UACAGAGGGUGCAAGCGUUAAUCGGAAUUACUGGGCGUAAAGCGUGCGCAGGCGGUUAUACAAGACAGAUGUGAAAUCCCCGGGCUCAACCUGGGAAUUGCAUUUGUGACUGUAUGGCUAGAGUGUGUCAGAGGGGGGUAGAAUUCCACGUGUAGCAGUGAAAUGCGUAGAUAUGUGGAGGAAUACCGAUGGCGAAGGCAGCCCCCUGGGAUAACACUGACGCUCAUGCACGAAAGCGUGGGUAGCGAACAGG
rnacentral:rRNA from 1 species